AUCAAUUGGAGAGUAUAAGACUUGAAUCAUUGGUCAAAUAAAUGAUUCACCGACCAUGCAGUAAUGCGAAAUAUAAAGAACAAUGUCGUCUUUCCUAAAACGAUGAAGAAGGAAAGUAAAGAUGUUCCAAAUAUUUACAACCAUAGGAAGUAACCAAAAGAGGGUAGCCAGUGAAAAAGUUUUUAUACUUUUUCGGGUAACCAAAUUACUAAUACAAUAACAUGCUUUUGGGUAGGAAAGCUAGUCAUCAUAUUAAUAAAAGUAAAUGAUGAUAAUGAUAAACAUAAUCACAAAGAACAAACGAUAACUUGUAAAAUCAAGAUUUGUAUCGUUGUUUUAUCACGCUGUAUUUUGUUGAAUUUUAAUUCAUUACGGAAACGUGCUUGAUGACACUCAUAACCGCAUUUAACCUUUUGUUUAAGAUAUGGAUACUGACAACCUCUAAAGAUACUGGUUUAUUUGUUUUCCCAUUUUUCAAGCUAAAAUCCUGAAAAAUGUUUAGCUGUAUGAAUGGAAGUGAGGUUAUGAAUUUCAAUUGACAAAAUAGUCUCAAUAUAUAGUCAGGUUUGUUUACAUUUACUCAUUUUUAGUCUUUAUUCAUGGACCCAAUCGGAAAACGUUUGAUGUUUACCUCUCAGUUAACAACCUAUAAUACACCGUUACGACACCACAUCAAACUUUAUGCAUCGUUUAUGCGGUGUGAGAUCCAAUUAACUUCUUCCUUUGUUUAUUCAUCUUUUAAAUGCAAAGUUUAUGCUUCAAAAGGCGAUAUUCAAUUGGUUUGUUGUAUCAAUGCGAUAAAAUAAUUGUUUGUUUACAUUUUUGUAGACAAACAAAAUCAGAUGAGUACGGCUGCAUAAUAUCUGAGUAGACUUAU